AAAAUGGCGACACGUGGUUAGCAUUCGUCGCCAACGAGAAAUUGGGGUCGGCCCGAAAGCUCUAGAAUGCACCCCUCUUCCUCCCCGGGGCCUUCCACCUCCGCGAGUUUUAUGACUUAAAAAAGCCCACAGGCUGGUCUGAAGGUCGGAGGCCUAAUUUUAACGCGUUUUCCUCCCUUUAAUUUGAAACGGGAACGCGAAUGACUGUAAAAUGUGGGCACAAUAUUUAAUCUCUCGCCUUUUUAAAGCUUAAUAGUGGAUAAUAGGGGGGCAGUAUCAAGGGAUAAUUUGGGUCCCCACAGUACCAAAGCAUUUAGAAACCUCUGUUUAAUUUAAGGAAUGAGAUAAGUUACUGCUUUUCUAGACUUCCUAGCAUGGGCUGUUGUGCUGGAGAGAACGAGAGCUACGAAGAGACUACAGUGCCUCUGACUUUUUCAUAGGACAGUUGGCCGAGGAAGACAAACAUAAAGAUGAAGUGCUUAAUUCAAGGUCACACAAUGUCGGGGAUGGACCUCCAGAUUUCCUUACUGGUGAGACGUGGUCUUGUAACACAGUGGUUAAGAAUGUGACUUUGGAGCCAGCCUGCUAGGGGCUGAAUUCUGACUCAGCCAUUUACUAACUGUGUGACCUUAGGUAAGUCAUUUACCUUCUUUGUCCCUCAGUUUCAUCUCGGUUAAGUAGGGAUAAUGAUAGCACCUAUUUUAUAGGGUUAUUGUGAGGAAUAAAUCCAAGUAAAAUGCUUAGAAUAGUAACUGAAACAUAGCACUCAUUAGGAAUGCUUUAAUUUUCAUUUAUUUGAGUAUUAAAGGUUGAAUUUUCAGAGGUA
rnacentral:lncRNA from 1 species